AGUGAAAUUGCUGGGUCAUAUGGUAAUUCUGUUGAACUUUUUAAGAAACUGCCAACCUGUUUUUCAAGGUGACUGUACCAUUUUACAUUCUCUUCAGCAGU
rnacentral:pre_miRNA from 1 species